AUGGGCCCAUUAAAUUGCAUUUUACUUAACCCAAAAGAUCAUUUUUCUUCACAUAGCCAUUACUCAUUAGGGUUUCUUCGAGACUUAGAUACCAUUCAUUCCUUCAGUUUUAUUUUGCCGCUAUGGUUUCAACCUUCAUCGUCUUCUUCAAUUUGUCGUUGCUGUUUGGUCCUCAACGAGCACCACCAAGCCACGAUUCACCAUGAAUAUGGAACAUGGAAACGGGAGCUCGCAAGGAGCUGUAGACGGGAGUUUGCAAGGAGCUGUAGACGGGAGCUGUAG